UGCAAGUCGAGCGGAAAGGCCCUUCGGGGUACUCGAGCGGCGAACGGGUGAGUAACACGUGAGUAAUCUGCCCCAGGCUCUGGGAUAGCCACCGGAAACGGUGAUUAAUACCGGAUACGACAACCGAUUGCAUGAUCUGGUUGUGGAAAGUUUUUCGGCCUGGGAUGUGCUCGCGGCCUAUCAGCUUGUUGGUGAGGUAAUGGCUCACCAAGGCUUCGACGGGUAGCCGGCCUGAGAGGGUGACCGGCCACACUGGGACUGAGACACGGCCCAGACUCCUACGGGAGGCAGCAGUGGGGAAUAUUGGACAAUGGGCGGAAGCCUGAUCCAGCAACGCCGCGUGAGGGAUGACGGCCUUCGGGUUGUAAACCUCUUUCAGCACAGACGAAGCGCAAGUGACGGUAUGUGCAGAAGAAGGACCGGCCAACUACGUGCCAGCAGCCGCGGUAAUACGUAGGGUCCGAGCGUUGUCCGGAAUUAUUGGGCGUAAAGGGCUCGUAGGCGGUCUGUCGCGUCGGGAGUGAAAACCAGGUGCUUAACACCUGGCCUGCUUUCGAUACGGGCAGACUAGAGGUACUCAGGGGAGAAUGGAAUUCCUGGUGUAGCGGUGAAAUGCGCAGAUAUCAGGAGGAACACCGGUGGCGAAGGCGGUUCUCUGGGAGUAUCCUGACGCUGAGGAGCGAAAGUGUGGGGAGCGAACAGGAUUAGAUACCCUGGUAGUCCACACCGUAAACGUUGGGCGCUAGGUGUGGGACACAUUCCACGUGUUCCGUGCCGCAGCUAACGCAUUAAGCGCCCCGCCUGGGGGAGUACGGCCGCAAGGCUAAAACUCAAAGGAAUUUGACGGGGGCCCGCACAAGCGGCGGAGCAUGCGGAUUAAUUCGAUGCAACGCGAAGAACCUUACCCUGGGUUUGACAUACACCGGAAAGCCGUAGAGAUACGGCCCC
rnacentral:rRNA from 2 species